rnacentral:rRNA from 1 species
UGAGUAACCUGCCCUUAACUCUGGGAUAAGCCUGGGAAACUGGGUCUAAUACCGGAUAUGACUCCUCAUCGCAUGGUGGGGGGUGGAAAGCUUUAUUGUGGUUUGGAUGGACUCGCGGCCUAUCAGCUUGUUGGUGAGGUAAUGGCUCACCGAGGCGACGACGGGUAGCCGGCCUGAGAGGGUGAUCGGCCACACGUGGGACUGAGACACGGCCCAGACCUCCGUACGGGNGCAG